AGCGGGGUAGGGUAGCCAGGUUAACCCGCCGGGCUCAUAACCCGGAGAUCCCUGGUUCAAGUCCAGGCCCCGCUA
rnacentral:tRNA from 1 species